GACGAGCUUCCGCCAUUGGUGUGAUCGCGGACCUAGAAACUUGGUCCGUCCCAUACAGGUGUAGAAGUCGGAUUUGGAGAAUGCUGACGGGUGUCCGGUCAAGGUUAGGCCCCAGCCUGCCGAGUGCCUGCGAUUGCAGGCACGCGCCGCCACACCUGACUGGUCUUGGUGGAGACGGGGUUUCGCUGUGUUGGCCGGGCCGGUCUCCAGCCCCUGACCGCGAGUGAUCCGCCAGCCUUGGCCUCCCGAGGUGCCAGGAUUGCAGACGGAGUCUCGUUCACUCAGUGCUCAAUGGUGCCCAGACUGGAGUGCAGUGGCGUGAUCUCGGCUCGCUACGGCCUACACCUCCCAGCCGCCUGCCUUGGCCUCCCACGGUGCCGAGAUUGCAGCCUCUGCCCGGCCGCCACCCCGUCUGGGAAGUGAGGAGCGUCUCUGCCUGGCUGCCCAUCGUCUGGGAUGUGAGGAGCCUCUCUGCCUGGCUGCCCAGUCUGGAAAGUGAGGAGCGUCUGCGCC
rnacentral:lncRNA from 10 species